UACGUAGGGGGCAAGCGUUGUCCGGAAUCAUUGGGCGUAAAGAGCGUGUAGGCGGCCCGGUAAGUCCGCUGUGAAAGUCCAGGGCUCAACCCUGGGAUGCCGGUGGAUACUGUCGGGCUCGAGUCCGGAAGAGGAGUGUGGAAUUCCUGGUGUAGCGGUGAAAUGCGUAGAUAUCUGGAGGAACACCGGUGGCGAAGGCGGCAUCCUGGACCAACACUGACACUGAGGAGCGAAAGCCAGGGGAGCAAACGGG
rnacentral:rRNA from 1 species